AAAAAGUCAACAGUUUGCUUGCGAUCGAUGGGUCUAAAGUUAAUUACAGGUGACUUUCCAACUGGUUGGAGUAACUAGCGCAGCAGCUGAUGUUUACCGGAUUAACUUGAGAACGUCAACUUGUUUAAAUGAAGUAUGUUUGGGUGUUUGCAUUUGUUUUUGCCUACGCUAUUGUUAACGAUGCUUCCCAGCUUCAGAACUGUGUAUUCAAAUGUGCAACAUUGUGCAGAAAUGUGCAGCCCAGGACUGAGGCUCUACUAAACUGUAUUGAUGGACCCAUGGAUGUUUGCAUCAGAAACUGUUUUGGACUGAAGCGCUAAUAAUCCCCUAGAGAAUUUCGCCAAACGUUCCCAGAUGAAAAUCAAAUGCGAAAUUAAAACAGAGAGAAAGUAAAUAAAUGUCAUUAAAUUA